rnacentral:ncRNA from 1 species
AUGAUAGAGGCGCGGCAUACAUCAGUACCCUCCGCCCACCGGCAGGUCACCGGGGAGGGGAAAGGGAAGGCCGCCGAAGGGUCCCCUCCGUUGCCUGGCGGGAGGAUGCCUGGGCCGUCAGAGAAUAUCUGACGGACUGCCAUUGAGAUACAAUGGAGCGCUUGCCGA